UUCUCUUGAGAGCGGCGGACGGGUGAGUAAUGCCUAGGAAUCUGCCUGGUAGUGGGGGAUAACGCUCGGAAACGGACGCUAAUACCGCAUACGUCCUACGGGAGAAAGCAGGGGACCUUCGGGCCUUGCGCUAUCAGAUGAGCCUAGGUCGGAUUAGCUAGUUGGUGAGGUAAUGGCUCACCAAGGCGACGAUCCGUAACUGGUCUGAGAGGAUGAUCAGUCACACUGGAACUGAGACACGGUCCAGACUCCUACGGGAGGCAGCAGUGGGGAAUAUUGGACAAUGGGCGAAAGCCUGAUCCAGCCAUGCCGCGUGUGUGAAGAAGGUCUUCGGAUUGUAAAGCACUUUAAGUUGGGAGGAAGGGCAUUAACCUAAUACGUUGGUGUCUUGACGUUACCGACAGAAUAAGCACCGGCUAACUCUGUGCCAGCAGCCGCGGUAAUACAGAGGGUGCAAGCGUUAAUCGGAAUUACUGGGCGUAAAGCGCGCGUAGGUGGUUCGUUAAGUUGGAUGUGAAAUCCCCGGGCUCAACCUGGGAACUGCAUUCAAAACUGACGAGCUAGAGUAUGGUAGAGGGUGGUGGAAUUUCCUGUGUAGCGGUGAAAUGCGUAGAUAUAGGAAGGAACACCAGUGGCGAAGGCGACCACCUGGACUGAUACUGACACUGAGGUGCGAAAGCGUGGGGAGCAAACAGGAUUAGAUACCCUGGUAGUCCACGCCGUAAACGAUGUCAACUAGCCGUUGGGAGCCUUGAGCUCUUAGUGGCGCAGCUAACGCAUUAAGUUGACCGCCUGGGGAGUACGGCCGCAAGGUUAAACUCAAAUGAAUUGACGGGGCCCGCACAAGCGG
rnacentral:rRNA from 1 species